rnacentral:tRNA from 1 species
GCCCAUGUAGCUCAGUUGGUAGAGCACGUCCUUGGUAAGGACGAGGUCGCCGGUUCAAUCCCGGCCGUGGGCUCCA